UAUUGUCUGGUCCCUCGGUAACCUUCUAAGCCUCACUUACUGCUCUUAAAGCUCCCUCUCUAUCUCCUUCGAGGGUCUCUGAAGCUGGUGACUCCAGAGGGGGCCCCAGUCCGGGGGCUUCGAACUCCAGAGAUCCCCAUGACUGAAGCAGUGGAGGCCGCAGCUGCUGCAGGAACUCAGAGACCCCACCCUCACCUUCCGUCUGCUUGGCUCCCAUAGGCCUGUGGUAGUGGAGACACGCCCAGCAGAUGAUCCUACUGCCCCCAGCAACCUAUAUAUCCAGGAAUGAGUCCCUGGGGUUGGGGGUGUGUGUUAGGAAUCAGUCUCUGCACCCCCUCCCCUCCCCAGUGGACACAGUAUAG